rnacentral:rRNA from 1 species
AUGAACGCUGGCGGCGUGCCUAAUACAUGCAAGUCGAGCGAACAGAUGAGGAGCUUGCUCCUCUGACGUUAGCGGCGGACGGGUGAGUAACACGUGGAUAACCUACCUAUAAGGCUGGGAUAACUUCGGGAAACCGGAGCUAAUACCGGAUAAUAUAUUGAACCGCAUGGUUCCAUAGUGAAAGACGGUUUUGCUGUCACUUAUAGAUGGAUCCGCGCCGCAUUAGCUAGUUGGUAAGGUAACGGCUUACCAAGGCAACGAUGCGUAGCCGACCUGAGAGGGUGAUCGGCCACACUGGAACUGAGACACGGUCCAGACUCCUACGGGAGGCAGCAGUAGGGAAUCUUCCGCAAUGGGCGAAAGCCUGACGGAGCAACGCCGCGUGAGUGAUGAAGGUCUUCGGAUCGUAAAACUCUGUUAUUAGGGAAGAACAAAUGUGUAAGUAACUAUGCACGUCUUGACGGUACCUAAUCAGAAAGCCACGGCUAACUACGUG